AUGGUGAGUCAGUCGCAGGGGAUCCAGCAGCUGCUGCAGGGCGAGAAACGCAGGGCUGAAAAAGGUGUCCGAGGCCCACAAGGGAAAGAACCGGAGGCUGAAGCAGACCAAAGAAGCAGCCCAGGCUGAGAUUGAACGGUACCGCCGGCAGAGGGAGAAAGAGUUCAAGGCCAAGGAAGCUGCGGCACUGAGGUCCCACGGAGCUGUAGCAGUGAAGUGGAGAAGGCGGCCCAGAAGAUGACCAUCCUCCAGACCUACUUCCAGCAGAACGGGGAUGAAGUCCUCGAUAACCUCUUGGCCUUUGUGUGUGACAUCCAGCCAGAAAUCCAUGAAAACUACCGCAUAAAUGGACAGAAGGCUGAUGGCCCUGCUCUGAGCUUGGCAUUGGAGUCCCUCAAGGAAUAG